GAUAUGGUCAGGAUUGUGGCAUAUGAAAAUUCUUCAUAAAAUAACUAUCUAAUCCAAUUAAUGCUGGAAUUGGGAACAGCAGAAGUGUCAUCUCAGAGCUACUCACAAUGAAAGGUGAUGUCUGGGGCUCAGGUGUGUUGAGGUCCCCAUGCCUGGACUAUGGGUGAUGAGUGGGAUUUACUUGUCCAUCCAUUUUCUAUAUUCCAGCACUGGGAAACUAGGGACAGUACUUGUUCUCAAGGGAAUCUUCAGCUUAGGUGGCUCUGUAAA